rnacentral:lncRNA from 1 species
GCACGGUUUCUUAAUUACUAAUAUAAUCAAUACAAUCCAUCAAUCUCGUUCCCCGAGCCUGCGAUCCUCGGGAAGGAACGCGAGGCUCUGGGAUAGUCCGUUGCCGGAAGCCAGCAAUCCUGGCUAAGACCGAACUGCGCAUUCCAUAUCAACAACCAAUCAGAUUCCUCCCUGAAACGGAUUAUCCCAGAGCCCCACGUUCCUUCCCGAGGAUCGCAGGCUCGGGGAACGAGAUUGUAC